rnacentral:rRNA from 1 species
GACGAACGCUGGCGGCGUGCCUAAUACAUGCAAGUAGAACGCAGUUGCGAACGGGUGAGUAACGCGUAGGUAAAUGCCCCCUAGCGGGGGAUAAAUCUUGGAAACGAUAGCUAAUACCGCAUACUGUAAGAUGGACCUGCGUUGUAUUAGCUAGUUGGGGGGGUAAAGGCUCACCAAGGCGACGAUACAUAGCCGGCCUGAGAGGGGGAACGGCCACACUGGGACUGAGACACGGCCCAGACUCCUACGGGAGGCAGCAGUAGGGAAUCUUCGGCAAUGGACGGAAGUCUGACCGAGCAACGCCGCGUGAGUGAAGAAGGUUUUCGGAUCGUAAAGCUCUGUUGUUAGAGAAGCGGUACCUAACCAGAAAGCGACGGCUAACUACGUGCCAGCAGCCGCGGUAAUAC